UGAUCAUCAUGGAAGCAUUUUCUAACUGUAUUUAUGUAUUUAGGUAGCUUCAUUCACAAGUUAAAAUGGAGACAGUUUCACUUUUACUCACUUCAAUAAUGCAGACAGUUUGUUAAAUCCAUAUUGUGCAUCCGGAGAAUCUAAGGCCAGGAUUUUCUGAUUUUUGAUCGUUUGGAGAAAAACAGCUGAACAUGCAGUACUUUCAUUAACUCCUCAGACUGGACUCAUUAUGUUUCAAUGCAAGCAGUUCACACAUUUUCCACUUUCUUCUUGAGUUAACGUUCAUUAAUGUGCAACAACUAUGUACCUUUAUGCAAUAACACACUAUUUAUUACACUGUAUACUUACAUCUUUUUCCUGUAAAAUGCACAUUUUAAAUUUAUGGUAAUGCUGUUUCUACUUAAGUUUGUAUUUUUAUAUUAUAUUUUACUUCUACUUAUGUUUAUCUCUAUAUUGUGUCCUGUUAUAUUUCUACGACUUUGAAUGGCAGCAACUUUAAGGAAAGAAAUUAAAGUAAUUCUGAUUAAAACACAUUUGAGCUGAUUCUAAAAUAUACUGAGGGCCGUCAGAGAAGCUGUAGGUUAAAAGAGCACAAGCAGUAGGUUAAAAGAGUGACAAACAGUAGGUUAAAAGAGCACAAACAGUAGGUUAAAAGAGUGACAAACAGUAGGUUAAAAGAGCACAAACAGUAGGUUAAAAGAGCACAAACAGUAGGUUAAAAGAGUGACAAACAGUAGGUUAAAAGAGCACAAACAGUAGGUUAAAAGAGUGACAAACAGUAGGUUAAAAGAGUGACAAACAGUAGGUUAAAAGAGCACAAACAGUAGGUUAAAAGAGUGACAAACAGUAGGUUAAAAGUGUGACAAACAGUAGGUUAAAAGUGUGACAAACAGUAGGUUAUAAGAGUGACAAACAGUAGGUUAUAAGAGUGACAAACAGUAGGUUAUAAGAGUGACAAACAGUAGGUUAUAAGAGUGACAAACAGUAGGUUAAAAGAACAAACAGUAGGUUAAAAGAGUGACAAACAGUAGGUUAAAAGUGUGACAAACAGUAGGUUAUAAGAGUGACAAACAGUAGGUUAUAAGAGUGACAAACAGUAGGUUAAAAGAGCACAAACAGUAGGUUAAAAGUGUGACAAACAGUAGGUUAUAAGAGUGACAAACAGUAGGUUAUAAGAGUGACAAACAGUAGGUUAAAAGAACAAACAGUAAGUUAAAAGAGUGACAAACAGUAGGUUAAAAGUGUGACAAACAGUAGGUUAAAAGUGUGACAAACAGUAGGUUAAAAGUGUGAAAAACAGUAGGUUAAAAGAGCACAAACAGUAGGUUAAAAGUGUGACAAACAGUAGGUUAUAAGAGUGACAAACAGUAGGUUAAAAGUGUGACAAACAGUAGGUUAUAAGAGUGACAAACAGUAGGUUAAACAAGUGACAAACAGUAGGUUAAAAGUGUGACAAACAGUAGGUUAAAAGUGUGAAAAACAGUAGGUUAAAAGAGCACAAACAGUAGGUUAUAAGAGUGACAAACAGUAGGUUAUAAGAGUGACAAACAGUAGGUUAUAAGAGUGACAAACAGUAGGUUAUAAGAGUGACAAACAGUAGGUUAUAAGAGUGACAAACAGUAGGUUAAAAGAGUGACAAACAGUAGGUUAAAAGAGUGACAAACAGUAGGUUAAAAGAGCACAAACAGUAGGUUAUAAGAGUGACAAACAGUAGGUUAUAAGAGUGACAAACAGUAGGUUAUAAGAGUGACAAACAGUAGGUUAAAAGAGUGACAAACAGUAGGUUAAAAGAGUGACAAACAGUAGGUUAAAAGAGUGACAAACAGUAGGUUAUAAGAGUGACAAACAGUAGGUUAAAAGAGUGACAAACAGUAGGUUAAAAGAGUGACAAACAGUAGGUUAAAAGAGUGACAAACAGUAGGUUAUAAGAGUGACAAACAGUAGGUUAAAAGUGUGACAAACAGUAGGUUAAAAGAGUGACAAACAGUAGGUUAAAAGAGCACAAACAGUAGGUUAAAAGAGUGACAAACAGUAGGUUAAAAGAACAAACAGUAGGUUAAAAGAGUGACAAACAGUAGGUUAAAAGAGCACAAACAGUAGGUUAAAAGAGUGACAAACAGUAGGUUAAAAGAGUGACAAACAGUAGGUUAAAAGAGUGACAAACAGUAGGUUAAAAGAGUGACAAACAGUAGGUUAAAAGAGUGACAAACAGUAGCUUAAAAGUGUGACAAACAGUAGCUUAAAAGUGUGACAAACAGUAGGUUAAAAGAGUGACAAACAGUAGGUUAAAAGAGUGACAAACAGUAGGUUAAAAGUGUGACAAACAGUAGCUUAAAAGUGUGACAAACAGUAGCUUAAAAGUGUGACAAACAGUAGCUUAAAAGUGUG